GUGGGGAAUCUUAGACAAUGGGCGCAAGCCUGAUCUAGCCAUGCCGCGUGAGCGAUGAAGGCCUUAGGGUUGUAAAGCUCUUUCGUGGGGGAAGAUAAUGACUGUACCCCAAGAAGAAGCCCCGGCUAACUCCGUGCCAGCAGCCGCGGUAAUACGGAGGGGGCUAGCGUUGUUCGGAAUUACUGGGCGUAAAGCGCACGUAGGCGGACUGGAAAGUCAGGGGUGAAAUCCCGGGGCUCAACCUCGGAACUGCCUCCAAAACUAUCAGUCUUGAGUUCGAGAGAGGUGAGUGGAAUUCCGAGUGUAGAGGUGAAAUUCGUAGAUAUUCGGAGGAACACCAGUGGCGAAGGCGGCUCACUGGCUCGAUACUGACGCUGAGGUGCGAAAGCGUGGGGAGCAAACAGGAUUAGAAACCCGGGUAGUCC
rnacentral:rRNA from 1 species